GUCCAGGUAAUAGAUCUUUUGCAGCUGCCACAACCAUUUGUGCUGCAUGCUCUAACUGUCUUGAUUUGGAUUUUGCCUCCUGACUUGGACCCUGAAAACUGACUUGGACCUGACUACAAAACUCCUUGGCUAUUUCUAACCUCAGGUUUCCCUCUGCUCUGACUCUGGCCCUGACUGCCCUUGUUGGGAUCCUGAGACACAGCUAGCCGAAUCAGCUACACAUCAGCACCAUCAUUGGACCAGAAGAGGACUUUAAAAAAAAAAAUCAGAUUUCCUAGCACGCAGGUAAAACUCCCAAUGAAAUCAUUGGAGCCUUCCAUGAGUAACAGUUCAGGAUCAAGCCCAAGAGAAAAAUACCAUUAAGGCACAAGAAGUUGGUCUGUUGUAACUGACUCAAAUGAACAAAUCAUCAAGAGAACUGACUCAACUGUUCUACUUCCUGUGAAGGCCUUUUCCUUUGUUGUUAAGGUUCUCUACAAAUGAUCAUACUCCAAGAUUCUAUGCUAACAUUUGCCCAUCUGCAGCUGAUGCAAGGUAUGACUUUAUAUCUCACUAAACACACUGAAACCCCUAUUCCUUCCCUUCUGCCCCCCAAAAUAGAGUAAAUACCAAAAAGGACAAACACUAGGCUUCUUAAAUAAAGCAGGGUCUGAACUUUACCUUUUCUCAGACAAAACUUCUAAGUAAAUGGCUGUACUAAUCUAAUUCCCAUUUGUUUUGCUUAAUGCACCCUUUGUAAAAGGUUAGAAUUCCAUCUGCCUGUUCUUUCAUCAGAGAUUCUGAGAAGUCCCAGUUGCAGAUGUGGCAGCCCCAGUGCAAAUAUCAACAGCUUAAACAUUCUCACUUCCAGUCUAAAUGUGAGAGAUUUUUAUCUUGAAGGGGAAAAAAAAUCUGUCCCAACCUAGCACUUUGUGAGUGUCUCUAUAGUUCCAUAAAUAAAAGCAUGGCAUAUGGUGUACACAGCUGUAGAUAACCUUGUAAGAGCCUUGAUAGACAGAUUUCCUCAUCUUAACAUCUCCCAAGUAUAAUAACCCAUAUUCACUCACCUCUUCUCCCAGACAGCUUCUGAAGAACACAUAUCAAAGACUGAACUUCCAAUCUGAGGGGUGACCUGACUCACCUACCACACUGUAGCGCCAGUGGAAAUGUUUUUAAAAGACUGUACUACGGAGAAACCCUCUUAGAGGGGAGUCCUAAAACUCCAUGUCUGCUGAAGUCAGAUGGGCUUUAAUGUUUUCAGUAAACUGUGAUGUCACUUGCAGAAUUGUAAUCUGCACAAUUAAUAAACCUCAUUAAUAUACUGACGGUAUAAGGGAUAACCAGUCCUUUGGGUUAGAGGCAAGCAGCCAGCUGAUUAGCCCUGUCUGCUGCACCUGAGAAAGUGCUUGGACUUAAUUAGCUGAGCUUUGUAAAAAAAGGGCAGCAGGAAAUAAAGAGGGAAAUUGUAACACCCCCAGAAAGCUGUGGGAUGCCAGGCUCCUAAUGGACUGUUAGAGUUACUGUAGAAAGGAAUUACUUGAGAAACCUAAUGGACAAAAUGGAGAGCAUGUGAAGUUCUUUAUUGCUGAGGCUCUGAGGUAAGAGCCAGGACAUUUGGGGUUGCUUAAGUUAUGAGUGUGAGAGACAGACUUGUCCUGCACAGACUUUGAGGGAAGAGUCUGAAGUUCUGAUUCUUCUUGUUAAGAAGGCUUAAAAUAAAACAACUAACCCUGCUGGAAAUGGAUUCCCCGAUAGAGCUCAGACAAAAUUGCCCCAGGGAGUGAGCUGGCUCAGUAGGUGCCCAACCUGGUCUGGUAGGAUAUGGGUGCUAUAAGACAGGACUUAAUCUUUUAUACUCAGUGCAUAAGUAAGUUUAAUUUCUAUUCAUAGUUAUACAGUAUAAGCCAGAAGUAAUGGCACUAGUGUCAGUGAAACAGAGCAAGAGAAUGUAAGACACAGCACUGCAUGAUCUUGCUUUUGCAGUUGGCUUACACAGAUUGCAGUGAAAUUCCACCAAUAUAAAGACACUUCCUUGACCAAUCUGAGAUGGCGCCAAUGUGCUGCUGAAAACAAACAGCUCUGCUGCACACCUUGAACCUGACUCUGAUCUCUCUUUCCCUCAAAUAAACCAUGAAUAAAUCCCUUUAAAUUAAUAAAACAGUAUAAAACUGG